rnacentral:rRNA from 1 species
AGAUUGAACGCUGGCGGAAUGCUUUACACAUGCAAGUCGAACGGCAGCACGGGGGUAACCCUGGUGGCGAGUGGCGAACGGGUGAGUAAUACAUCGGAACGUGCCCAGUCGUGGGGGAUAACGUAGCGAAAGCUACGCUAAUACCGCAUACGAACUCUGGUUGAAAGCGGGGGACUCGCAAGAGCCUCGCGCGAUUGGAGCGGCCGAUGGCAGAUUAGGUAGUUGGUGGGGUAAAGGCUCACCAAGCCUGCGAUCUGUAGCUGGUCUGAGAGGACGACCAGCCACACUGGGACUGAGACACGGCCCAGACUCCUACGGGAGGCAGCAGUGGGGAAUUUUUGGACAAUGGGCGCAAGCCUGAUCCAGCCAUUCCGCGUGCAGGAUGAAGGCCCUGGUGAAACUGCUUUGGACGGAACGAAAAGCCGCUCUCUAAUACAGGCGGUCAGUGACGGUACCGUCAGAAUAAGCACCGCUAACUACGUAGCCGAGCAGACCCG